rnacentral:rRNA from 1 species
GAUGAACGCUGGCGGCGUGCCUAAUACAUGCAAGUCGAGCGAACAGACGAGGAGCUUGCUCCUCUGACGUUAGCGGCGGACGGGUGAGUAACACGUGGAUAACCUACCUAUAAGACUGGGAUAAAUUCGGGAAACCGGAGCUAAUACCGGAUAAUAAAUUGAACCGCAUGGUUCAAUAGUGAAAGACGGUUUUGCUGUCACUUAUAGAUGGAUCCGCGCCGCAUUAGCUAGUUGGUAAGGUAACGGCUUACCAAGGCAACGAUGCGUAGCCGACCUGAGAGGGUGAUCGGCCACACUGGAACUGAGACACGGUCCAGACUCCUACGGGAGGCAGCAGUAGGGAAUCUUCCGCAAUGGGCGAAAGCCUGACGGAGCAACGCCGCGUGAGUGAUGAAGGUCUUCGGAUCGUAAAACUCUGUUAUUAGGGAAGAACAAAUGUGUAAGUAACUAUGCACGUCUUGACGGUACCUAAUCAGAAAGCCACGGCUAACUACGUG